AUGAACAAGGAUCAGAAGAUAAUAAGAUCCAAUGUUCUUAUUGAGAGGCAGGCAUCUGAGGUUUACACCAGGGCAAUUUUCAAGUUGUUUUCACUAGAGCUAUUUCAGUCGGGAUCUUUCCAUGUUAAGGGCAAUCACGUUGACGGAAAGAUUGUCAUAGAACAUGCUGACGCUGAGAGGAGGCAGCGUUGGUGCAAAGUGGUGUAUGAGGUGAAUGUUGAUAGGGAGAGUGAUAUGUACUCAUGCGAGUGCGGAAUGUUCGAGCACUCUGGGUUGCUUUGUCGUCAUAUCUUGAAGGUCAUGGUGCACGUUGGUGCCCGACAAAUUCCUAGUAGAUACAUUAUGAAGAGAUGGACAAAAGAUGCCAGGGACAAUCUUCCAGAACACUUGAAAACUUAUCAGAAGGAUGUGAGCAUGCAAGUGUCGAAGACUUUCAGGCACAACAUUAUUUAUGUUAAAGCAUUGGAGAUCGUUAAGUUGGCUAACAAGGGUGUUGAUCAUUUCCAGCAUGGGCUGGCCGCCCUUGAUACAUUGAAAAAGGAAUUGGAGUCAAUUGAAGUAGUUCAAGAAACAGUUCAUGGCACCCGCAGUGCAGUCGCCGUGAAUAAUAAACCAGAUCAACCAAACAUCAACCAUAAAGAUCCUGAGUCUGGAAACCCAACCGUAGUUACCAAGAGAUCGGCGCACAAUUCAAAGCAAGGUCUUGCUAAUGCACAACCGCAAACAGGAGAUGAAUUCCAUGAAACCACGGAAUUAUUUCCUCCCGAGAAGAAGGCCAGCAAGGGAAGACCAAAAACAAAGCGCUUCAAGGCAGCAGGUGAUAGUGCAACCAGAACAAACAAGUGUGCAAUAUGUGGAUCAAAGGACCAUUUCACAAGGUCUUGCCCUUGCCACCUGGUGGGUCCAGUUACCUCAAGCGAUUCAGAGGAGGACAAUUUCAACCAAGAAGAAGAACGUGAUGAUCAAGAUAAGGAUGUUGAGGUGGAAGAAACACAUGUCAGCAUGGGAAGUCAGAGAGGAAGUGGGAGCAUGACUGGCAAGACAAACAACCAAUCUGCAAAGAGGAGGUGCAAAAACUGUGGGUUGGAAGGGCACUAUACUCCUAAGUGUCCAACAUAUGAUGGCCCCAAGAAGCCUCCGAAGGAGGUGACCUGCAAGAAAUGCUUCCUUGGCGGUCACUAUGCAUCGACAUGCGGAGGAGAGUCGUCUUACAAGCGUAAGCGCUAG
rnacentral:rRNA from 1 species